rnacentral:rRNA from 1 species
GAUGAACGCUGGCGGCGUGCCUAAUACGUGCAAGUCGAGCGAACAGAUAAGGAGCUUGCUCCUUUGACGUUAGCGGCGGACGGGUGAGUAACACGUGGGUAACCUACCUAUAAGACUGGGAUAACUUCGGGAAACCGGAGCUAAUACCGGAUAACAUUUGGAACCGCAUGGUUCUAAAGUGAAAGAUGGUUUUGCUAUCACUUAUAGAUGGACCCGCGCCGUAUUAGCUAGUUGGUAAGGUAACGGCUUACCAAGGCAACGAUACGUAGCCGACCUGAGAGGGUGAUCGGCCACACUGGAACUGAGACACGGUCCAGACUCCUACGGGAGGCAGCAGUAGGGAAUCUUCCGCAAUGGGCGAAAGCCUGACGGAGCAACGCCGCGUGAGUGAUGAAGGGUUUCGGCUCGUAAAACUCUGUUAUUAGGGAAGAACAAACGUGUAAGUAACUGUGCACGUCUUGACGGUACCUAAUCAGAAAGCCACGGCUAACUACGUG